UCGGUUUUAUUUUAUUUUUGUUUUAUCUUCGUUUAUCAUAUAUUUUGUUAAAUAUAUACGAAACGAACACAAUUCAGCCUAAAUAUCCUUACACGCGAGGAAUUGAAAAAUGUCAAAUAAAUCGUGAAACCAUGCGAUCCAAGCAUUAUACGCCAUCGAUCGGCAAAAGUAUAGAUUUUUCCACCAACUUCGGUAUUGAGGAACGAAAUAGUCACUGCGGUCUCUUCCCCUCGAAUGAGGAUACACAGUAUUACAGCCCGAAAUAUUAUUCCAGAUGUUUUGCGCGCGAAAACGAGUAUUCGUGUUGUUGUUAGAGAUCGGAUAUUGGCAAAAAGUAAAAAGGGCACUAAAGAAUAAAUUCCAAAACAGAAUAGAUAUAGUAAACUUCAAGCUAUAAGAAAUCAACCAAUCGUAAUCGAUUAUUCUUCUCAUAUUUAAUUAUGAUUGGCUAAUAUUUUAUGACUUAAAGCUUACUACACCUAUUUCGAGACUAAAAUUAAGGUUUAAAUGUGUUGUUUACAAUCUGCGUAAGUUAAUCAGCGAUUAUUCCAAGCUUUUGUCCCUAGGGAUGAACUCUCGUGACCAAUUUCUUAACAAUGUAGUUUAAUUUUAAUCUUGGUUUAACUAACUCUUUAUCUUUUUUUACUUCUAAGAAUUAAAAAAGGUUGAAGAAUAAGUUAAAUCGAGAUUAAAGUUAAUCUACAUUGGUAAAAACGGGCAUUAGAGUGUCUCGCACGCGAACGGAAUAUUCUUAAGACCCACUGCGAAGUCCUCUAUGAAACAUUACUUAUUUCUUACUCGAACGCAUUUUGUCAUUAACUUAAUAAUAUAUAUUUAAAGCGUGUGACACGAAGCGUCAACUUAAAAAAAAUCUAACAUUGGAUUCCUCGAGCUGCAAUGAUCUUCGUGGGCCACAUUUUGUUUUCAGUUAUCGAUAUACUGAAAUUCGGCGAGGAAAUCGAUCGCGACGUCGAUCGAAAAGACAAACUGGGAAAAAGUAGAAAAAGGACGAAAGAAAAGACAAAGAUCGGUAUUCGCCGCAUACUGUAUUCGCACGUAUAUACGCACACAUUGCACGCGCGCCUAUUGUCGUAAGGUGUAAAAUUUGAUAUAAGAACUCCUUAGCUUUUAAGCGACGUUAUUGAGGAGAUAAAAAGAAAGAAGAGGAAUUAACAUACCCACAUACAUACACCUACACAUACAUAUACAUCUGCAAUGUGAUAUUCUCGUGUCUUGUCCGAUAAGACAGACGUUCAUUCUAACGAGUAUAGUUGGCGUUUGUCCUUCUUUUUUCGCGUUAGUCAGUAAGGUAUAUCUAUAAUAUAUAUUUAAGGGAAACUCUACAUAUAUACGUAAGAGAUAAUCCGGGAGUGUGUGUACGUGUUCGGAAAUUUUGCGGAUAAAGAAAAGAGAAAAAUGCAAAAAAAAAAAA